rnacentral:lncRNA from 1 species
AGGUUAGUCCUAAAAUCAUUGAGUUGCAGUAUUUGGAAUAUUUGGACCUCAGUCACAAUUCCUUCAAUGCCACCCAAAUUCCAGCACUCAUUUGUUCUCUUUCCAGUUUAAGACACCUAGAUCUCCAUUCCAAUCCCCACAUCGGGAGCAAAAUUCCAAAGCUUAUUGGUAAUCUGACCAAUUUAAGGUAUCUAGAUCUCUCUAAUAUUGGCUUCAGUGGUGAAAUUCCAACGCCGAUGUGUUCUCUGUCUAAUUUAAGACACCUAGAUCUCGGUUACAAUGAUCUCAACGGGAGCAAUAUUCUAGAGCUCAUUGGUAAUCUGACCAAUGUAAGAUAUCUAGAUCUCUCUUUGAAUUCCUUGGGUGAUAAAAUUCCAGUUGCAUAUCAUCAACUUGGAAACCUUACUCACUUGCAAUAUCUCAAUCUCGGAUAUAAUUACCACACUCAUGUUGUAGAAAACCUCAAUUGGCUCCCACAUCUUUCUUCUUUGAAAUACCUAGACUUGAGUGGGACCAAUCUGAGUAAGGCGUCUGAUUGGCUGGAAACAAUAAACAAGCUCCCCAAUUUAUUUAUUUAUUACUAAAGCUCGGUCAACUGUUCAUAUCAUAGCAUAUGAACAGUGAUUUUUUUUGUUUUUUUUGUUUUGAAAACAGGUAAUUUAGAUUUUUUUUAGAUAAGCUUUCUCUUAACAAAGAUUUUUUUGCCUUCCAUUUUUUACUUUUCUUCUGCAUCCUAAAUCUUACAAAUCAAAAUAAUUAGAACAUUUAUAUUUUGGGUAAAAUACNNNNNNNNNNNNNNNNNNNNAUUCUUAUGCUUCAGUUUAAUCAGCUUAGUGGAAGUUUGCCUUCACAGUUAUGUCACCUACCACAUCUUCAAAUAUUGGAUGUCUCUGUGAAUGAAAUCUCGGGAACUAUACCAAAAUGCCUCAACAAUUUGACUUCUUUGGCACAAGAAGGAAAUUCAAAUCUAACCAUCAGGCAUUCUUUUAAUAUAUCAGAGGCCGAACCACCGAUGACUUCUCUUUAUUAUGAAGAUGAUGCAACAUUCAUGUGGAAAGGAACAUUGGCUUCAUACAAAAGCACCUUGGGACUAGUCAAGAGAAUUGAUCUCUCAAGCAACAGAUUAACUGGGGAGAUUCCAAGUGAAAUCACUUACCUUGUUGGAUUGGUUUCUCUGAACCUGUCAAGGAACAGUUUAAGUGGACAAAUCCCUCUAGAUAUCGGAAAGUUGAAGUCAUUAGAUUCACUUGAUUUGUCAAGAAACAAGAUACAUGGUGGAAUCCCGACAAGCCUUGCUCAUAUAGAUAGACUUGGCACCAUGGAUUUGUCAUAUAACAACUUGUCUGGUGAAAUUCCAACUGGCACUCAGCUCCAAGGCUUUAAUGCCUCAUCUUAUAUUGAAAAUCCUUGGUUGUGCGGACUUCCACUUCAUGUUUGUGAUCCAGAGGGGACAGGUCGACCUAAUGUCUCAAGUGGUGAAGAUGAUGCAAAUGAGCUCAUCACGCAAGGGUUUUACAUAAGUCUGGGACUUGGAUUUGCUGUUGGAUUCUGGGGAAUCUGUGGAAGUUUGAUAUUCAAGAAGUCAUGGAGAUAUGCAUACUACAAUUUCUUGAAUGCUUCAAAUGAUUGGCUUUAUGUGAAGGUAGUUUUGAUCAGACGACAAUUAAAGGAUUUGCUCAAUAGACAACAAUCUUAAGCCGUACGUAAUCUCUCUCUCUCUCUCUCUCUCUCUCUCAAACUGAUCGAUUAUAUUUUUAUACAGCGCCAGCAUGUUCCAGGAUGCUGGACAAUCAUCUGCUCAAGUCUUCACUGUACACGAAAUUGUUGUUCAAUCAUGUUUUUCUUCAUCUUGUCUCUACCUUGCCAAGUUUGGUUUCAGUGUCUCUUCAUUCUAUAAGAUUUCUAUAAUAAGUCCUCAUCCCUCAGUACCAUGGACAUACUUCAUCAGAAACUUUUGGUAUAUUAUCUGUACUAUAAUUGUAAGAACUUGUUGAUUCAAUCAUCUCUUUGUCUUGAAAAAUUUCUAUUCCAGCUACUGUUAUUCAAGAGACUUCUGCACUACAGGAUUAAUGAUGAUGUGUGUUCCAUAACUACAGAAUUACUAGUGAUUAUGGUUUGCAUAUAUAGGUUCUCUAAUUUUAAAUUAUCUCUUUCCUUUCAUGCAUCAUUCUUGUACUUAUAUUUGCACAAUCAAAACUUGUCUCCUAAUCUUCCUCACAGAAUACCAUAUACCAUGUUUCCAACAUCAAAGAAGUGCAAGUAAAAGCAACUGUUGGCAUGAUAACUGUUGAAAAGAUGGGCACCGGGAAGUUCUAAAAUAAUCUACUGUUGAAGAACAGACAGCCAUAUAAGUUCAUGUAUUUUAUCUCUUAUUGUCUCGACUAGCUAUCAGGUAAGGUUUCCAAUCAUCUUCUGUUUAUCUGUAUCUGAAUGUGAUAGGCCGAGUGUGUAUAAUGAAAAAUCAGUCUAACACCGAACUUGGUAUAGGCAUCAACCAAAUUUCCUAGUAAAUUUUCUUGACCAACUUAUUAAAUUAAGUCAGAUUAAUGAGAUGAAAUUUGUAGAUCAAUAUAUCACUGACGUGUUUAAGAAAGAAUUGUUUUACGAGGAUUCACUGACACUAUACUAUGUUUAAAAAAUGCUAAAAGAAAACAGAGUGAUAAAGAAAAAACAGAGUAUUUCCAAUGGUUUCCAAUACAUUUCUUGUUUUGUGUUUUCUUCGACUUGUUUGCUGCUCUCAACAUGAAAAGAUAAUACUAGCGUUAUUACGCCCCUUGAUUCACUGAUACUUGAUAUUGAUUAUAGGGGUUUCUUGANNNNNNNNNNNNNNNNNNNNGUUCUCUGUGAGAAGUUUCUGAAACGAAAGCUCUGUCUUACUAAAUAAAUUGAUUGUGACUAAUAUGGAAGACCGAGGAUCUCUACCAAGUCAAGUCAAUAAUCAGCCAUAGUGUGGAAAUGAUAGCACUAAUAGAGACUUGGGUUCAGCUUAUGUUGUUUUCUAUCUUAUCAAUUGAUUUCUUGUUGACUUCUUGUCACCGAUCAAGAAAACAGAGUUGAUAAUUGCUACUCGAUCAGUUCCUAUUGUAAGAAGUUGUUGGAGAACUCUCCAGUCAGCUGCUUGGCUCGCAUAUAUUCCAGCUAGUUCUUUGCUAGACAUCUCUGCAAUUUACAGUUAAAUAACGCCACAAUAGAAAGAAAGAAAGAAAGAAAACUAUUACUUAUUGACUGCAACACUCGAGCUCCUUUCUUAAAUGGAAUAUUUGUAUCUGCACAUAAACCAUUCCAAUCUGCUACCGCAGAGAUGAAACGUUUAAUGGGAGGAGAAUUUUACAUGAAUAUAUAUGUUCUGUACGGACAGUAAGAACGAAAUUUAAGAAGAAAAACAGAUUGAUAAAGAAAAAACAGAGUAUUUCUAUCAAGGGUACGUGAUUCUUCGCGAGUCAAGUCAAUAUUAGGCAACGAUUGCAUUGUUGAAAUGAUAUUAGAAUUGUAGAAUUGUAGCUGUAGUAGCCCAUGUUACAGAAUUCCCAAAUGAUAUUAUAUAGUGCACGAGGAAUCAAUUCAAAUAAAGGAAUACAAACUAUGCUCUUUAGUUUUGGAACUAAAAACAGAGUGAUCAAAACUAAAACAGAGUAUUUUCCAAAUACAAUCUCUGGUUUUGUUUAUUUACUUCAACUUGUCGACUGAUUUCAACAUGAACACUUGAACAGUGAUGUUAUUUACCUGCCAUAAUCAUCUCGCUCCUUUACUCUCAACUUUUNNNNNNNNNNNNNNNNNNNNCGAGGGAAAUUUAUUGAGAAGAAAAAAGAAAAAAAACAAUCAUAGGAGGGACCUAACUCCACUCCUAACCAAAAUAAAAAACAAACCUAUAACUCACAACAAAACAACAAAAGUUAACAGAAACGAAAGAUGGGAAGCCCCAACCCAUCGUUAUUACAAAGAGAAAUAACAAAAUUUGGGGGCAAGUCCCACCACGUCAAGCCUGAAGACGUUGUCCCUUCAUUCGAGUUCAGUGAUUGCGAAAGGAGUUCAUGUAAUAUUUGUAUUUGACAGUAAUUAAUUCGAGUUCAGUAGUUCAAUCCUGGAGAUGAAAACUUGUUUGUGAGGAACUUUUAGUAUAGAAUUGUUUUACUUAAUAGAUGGAUCCAUCCGCCGAAACUAAGCUAGUAAUCCUAGUAUGCUCGCAGAGUACUUAGAUAUAGAAAAGAACAAGCAAAAAUGAAUAAAUUAAAAGAGUACGUACGUGCAUGAUAUAACUGGGGGUACUUCCUAUAACAUUGAGAGUGAUAAAUUAACUAUCUCUCCACUUUCCAAAUUCUUAUCCUAAAGUUUUUCUGUAAGCCAUUCCAUUCCAAAUAAACUGAUAACGACUAAUAUGCAUGGAAGAUUCAAUAUUAAUUACGACCAAGUCAAGUCCAUGCUUGGCAACAUUUGCAUUGUGGAAAUUGUAACUUGUUUCAGUUCUAGCAGACUGAGACACUUGGGUCCAAUUUUUCCUGUUUUCUAGUAAGUUGUGGCUAUCUAUUGCUGCAUCUCCUUUUACGUCGAUUCUAUAUCGAUCACCAUCUCAUUGAAUUUUCAAUAUGAUUGUGAUGCCAAAGAAAGCAGUGUUCUCUAUUUAAUUUACAGAUCGAAAAGAAAAAUAUGGAGGCAACGUACUCGCAGUGUUCAUGAUAUAUUUUUGUAUGUUAACCCAAGUGAUUUAUCUUAAUCUUAUUCUGAGAAAGGUACUGUUAUUGAGCUCUUUUAGUCAUGACCAACUUAUUAAAUUAAGUCAGAUUAAUGAGAGGAAAUUUUUAGAUCAAUAUAUCACUGACACGUUUAAGAAAGAAUUGUUUUACGAGGACUCACUGACACUAUGCUACUUAGUUUAAGAAAUGCUAAAAGAAAACAGAGUGAUAAAGAAAAAACAGAGUAUGUCCAAUGGUUUCCAAUACUUCGUUUUGUGUUUUUCUUCAACUUGUUUGCUGCUCUCAACAUGAAAAGAUAAUAAUAGCGUUAUUACGCCCCUUGAUUCACUGAUACUUGAUAUUGAUUAUAGGGGUUUCUUGAUAUACUGUCCCGUUGAAUUGCUAUGGGAAAACAGAGCUAGACAAAAUGCUCAAUUUUGUUUAACAGUAAUUUGAGUGAACAACUCCAAUACAUUUUUGUUUUGUGUUUUCUCCGACUUAUUGACUGCUCUCAAAUUGAAGUCGACAUUGCAUUGUCGAAAUAAUAACUCCUAUCAAUAGCAGCUGCGAGGCAGUUUCCAAAUGAUCGUGACGCCGGCGAAAAAGAAAUUUUCUUUCUCAUCUUCUUCCAUACAUGAAACCCUUUUCUAUGCUUAAUUUUAUUCCGAGAAAUCUGACAUAAUAACAGUGUUCUUCAGAUUCCUGCUCCUGAUACUAAUAAUUUUCCACGAGUCUUCUGAAGCAGUUAUUGGUCAACGUAGCAAUUGCCUGUUUGUUUCCCCUGUUUCACAGCUUAGUUUAGAUAUGAAAUUCUUCGAUUAAUUGGUUCUGAGGAGCUAUCAUUAUUAUCCAUGUAUUUUAUAUAAUAAAAGAAAAGAAAAGGAAAUUCCUCUACAACAGAGUGCUGAAAACGAAAACAGGGUAUUUCCCCAGCAUAAUCACUUGUUUUGUUUAUUUACUUCAACAUGAAAAAUAUAUAUUGUUAUUUAUUUACGUGUGAAAAUGAGAACAGAAGCUUUUCGGAAUCUUUAUCACAGGCCAACAAGGUUCUCUGUGAGAAGUUUUUGUCUUACUAAAUAAAUUAAUAUGGAAGACGGAAGAUCUCUACCAAGUCCAAGUCAAUAAUCAGCCAUAUUAUAGCAGUAGUAGAAAUUGAUGCGUCUCCCUUAACGUUCAAAUCUUAAUUCUUGAUUUCUAACUGAAAAGAAAGAUAUCUUCCACCAGCUAGCUUUGUUUGCCAUGAAUAAAUUUAUAUAUAUUCAAUCAACAACAUAGUGUUAUAAGCAAAACUCCUCCUAAUUUCAAUAGCAAUUAAUUUCGAAUUCUCAUCCAAUUAUUAAGUCAACACCCGAGUCAUGUUAGUUAAUGCUCAACGUAGAAGAUACUCUCUUCCUUCUUUCCAUGCAUCUUCUGUAUGAGCUUACGUCUCUGUUUCACAGCUUAGUUCAGAUAUGUGAAAUCAUUAUAAAUAGGGAAUGAUUUGCAUGCAAAGGGAGUAUUCAAUUCUGAGAAAUAAACACACAGCCAAACUUAUAAAUAGUAGCUUGCAGUGCAAUUGUGCUUCUACUUCCCUCAUCGUCUUGAUUACAUCAAUUAAGAUGGAGUUGGGAAGGUGGCUCAUACAUGCUUGUACAAUAUCAAUUGUGCUUCUUCUGCGUAUCAACGCUUCCUUAUCCCUCGGUCACCACCAUGCUAACAUGACGGCGAGAUGCAUUGAGAGGGAGAGGGAUGCACUUCUUGCUAUCAAAGGAGACUUGGUGGAUGAAUACAACCUGCUCUCUUCGUGGGGAAGGGAAGACUGUUGCGGAUGGGAGAGAGUCCAUUGUGAUCCCCACACUGGCCAUGUUAUUCAACUUCAUCUUGGAGGAGUGUUGGAGGUGUCGCGACGUGGACUUGAUCGACUGGAGAUGUACAAUGCAAGGUCAGGAUAUAUGUACUUUCCGGGGUUGUUUUAUCUGCAAGGUCAGGAUAUAUUGAAAAACUUCGGAGGUCAGGUUAGUCCUAAAAUCAUUGAGUUGCAGUAUUUGGAAUAUUUGGACCUCAGUCUCAAUUUUUUCAAUGCCACCCAAAUUCCAACACUCAUUUGUUCUCUGUCCAACUUAAGACACCUAGAUCUCCAUUCCAAUCACCUCACCGGGAGCAAAAUUCCAAAACUCAUUGGUAAUCUGACCAAUUUAAGGUAUCUAGAUCUCUCUUAUAUUGGCUUCAGUGGUGAAAUUCCAACAACAAUGUGUUCUCUGUCUAAUUUAAGACACCUAGAUCUCUAUGAUAAUGACCUAAACGGGAGCAAUAUUCUAGAGCUCAUUGGUAAUCUAACCAAUUUAAGAUAUCUAGAUCUCUCUGAGAAUUCCUUGGGUGAUGAAACUCCAGUUCCAUAUCAUCAACUUGGAAACCUUACUCACUUGCAAUAUCUCAAUCUCGGGUAUACUUACCACACUCAUGUUGUAGAAAACCUCAAUUGGCUCCCACGUCUUUCUUCUUUGAAAUACCUAGACUUGAGUUGGACCAAUCUGAGUAAGGUGUCUGAUUGGCUGGAC